CCUUGCUGCUUCCUCAUGGGAGAUAAACUCAUGCUCAUGUAAGAAGAACAUCUGUCUUGGGCUAGGAGGAGCACAGGAAGAUGCCUUUAUCUCAAGAGCUAGGAAAUAAGGCAACUGUAUUAAAUUGUCAAGGGAGGACAGCAGACCAACAAGGAUGAAGAAGCUUGAAAAAUUCUUCAUUGCAGGGUCCACUCAUUGUCUCUAAUGAUUUGCUGCUCCUCAAAAGAAUGUCUACACUCCCGAUCGCCCCUUUUGCCAUGAGAAAAGUUGAUUUUCACUGAACCUUCAGAGGGUGAAGAGGAAGCUUUUCCUUGACUUCUACACAGGCUGGAAAUAAAUAACCUCCGCUUAGGACACCCCUGGCAGGGGCUUUCCAAACCACUUCCAACCCUGGAGAGAAAGAUAAUGAUGUGCCCAAACAACACAUCUGCAGAUGUUCCGUGGAGCAUCAUCACCAAAAAUGCACACGAAACUGCCACUAGAAGCAAAUGGAGGAAGCACACAGCAGGACUGGGUGUCUUUAAUUGCCAUUGCGAACGUGUGUCCAUCUGCACCACGUGAAUGAUUUGCGGCACAGCCGGGACCUGGCUCAGUUCUCUUGACACAUACAUCAACUCACAAGCACUGAAGUGGCAAGGCUGUUUGCAGAAGACAUUUAAGGCAAAAAUAGAUUGCAUCUUAAAAGUGAGUGAACUCCUUUAUAUGGGAUAAUCUAGGCACUGAUAUCUUUCCUUCCUAAUCAUAGCAAAAUCUAUCUUAUUUAUUAUUUCAGCUAAAGGAAAGGAAAAAUUGAGAUUUGUGUUUUAAACCAUACCUAGAUAGAUGAUAUCACUGCUGCUGUGAAAAAUAUUUUCAAGUCAGUGAUUUGUUACUUAAUUUUGGAAAUUAGUAAAAACCCUGCAAGUCAUUUUUUUUUUUAGCAUUGUUCUUAGUUUUCCAAUCUGCCCUUGAGGUCUUGCCUUUAAUCAUUAAGUAUGUAUGUUAGAGUUUGCUGCAAGAACAUUGAAACUUCAAAUUUGUUUAAAUUAACAAAUUCAAGGCCAACUAGUCAGUAGAUAGAAUGAUGAGGUGAGAGUUGGUGGCCAUCCCAAGCUCUGUGUUAACCAGGACCAAAUCAUUUAACCACUUCCUUGGCACUUCUAUUUGUUAGGUGAGAAUUAAUUGAUUCAUUUAUUCAGUUGUUUUGUACGCUGGAAGAAAUGCUUCAUUCAUUUAUUUCAUUUAUUCUUUAAGUGUCCAAGUGAUGUAUCAAAUACUGGUGAUUAAAAGAAAUUGCACAAAAUAAGACUUUUAAGCUGAGGAGCUCAGAGUUUACUAGAAGCGACACACAUAUAAAAAGAUGAAACACAGACUAACACAUACCCGGCAAGAUAAGAACCAAGUACAGAGUGCUGGAACAGAGGGUACCGUGUCUGUUUAGGUGGCUGCAAAGAUCUCCAGGACGUACCCAGGUGCAGAAGCCAUGCAGGCAUGAAGCCUGAGGGUUGCAUCUAUGGUAACAGCAGUACAGUGCUAUCUCCAAGGAACAGGAGGACAUUCUGAGAGAGGACAAUGUAGAGUUUGGUGGUACAACGGCAGUGGAUGACAUGGGAUAGAAUAAGAUGAGAUAGAAAUUUUGUGACAGGCCAGGUGCGGUGGCUCACGCCUGUAA
rnacentral:lncRNA from 1 species